GGAAAAUGCAAUGGGGUUGUCAGUCAAUCAUGAGAGCAAACAUGAGGUUCCUGCUGCUAAGAAGCUCCUCUUGAUUAGCCCUGAUGAUCUUCGGCUGUGUGGCUGCACCUGUCUGGCGCAACGUGCAGGAGGAGAGACAUUCUGGAAGUGUAUUGUGCCCUGCCCAGCAGCACUACUGCCUGUGUCAGGAUGACCUGCCGAAGACUCAUUCAAAGCCUUCAUCAGUGUGUGGCAGUUACCAAUUUAGAUAUGAUACAGGUUGCAUUUUGGUCCACCCUUCUACUGCUAUCCAG